UACGGGGGGGGGAAGCGUUGUUCGGAAUUACUGGGCGUAAAGGGCUCGUAGGCGGCCAACUAAGUCGGACGUGAAAUCCCUCAGCUUAACUGGGGAACUGCGUCCGAUACUGGAUGGCUUGGAUUUGGGAGAGGGAUGCGGAAUUCCAGGUGUAGCGGUGAAAUGCGUAGAUAUCUGGAGGAACACCGGUGGCGAAGGCGGCAUCCUGGACCAACACUGACGCUGAGGAGCGAAAGCCAGGGGAGCAAACGGG
rnacentral:rRNA from 1 species